rnacentral:rRNA from 1 species
UACAGAGGUCUCAAGCGUUGUUCGGAUUCAUUGGGCGUAAAGGGUGCGUAGGUGGCGCGGUAAGUCGGGUGUGAAAUUUCGGAGCUUAACUCCGAAACUGCAUUCGAUACUGCCGUGCUUGAGGACUGGAGAGGAGACUGGAAUUUACGGUGUAGCAGUGAAAUGCGUAGAGAUCGUAAGGAAGACCAGUGGCGAAGGCGGGUCUCUGGACAGUUCCUGACACUGAGGCGCGACAGCGUUGGGAGCAAACAGG